CUUGCGAAGGAUUUUCUUCUUUUUUCACCCAAGUACGAUUACGUAUGGACGAAGAAUCUAAACGCGAUUUGGAUUCAAAUCUUCAACUGGAAUAUGUUCCCCGUAUCGAUUUUGUGGAAUCCAAAUUGAAGAUUUGAGAACAUCAAUAAUCUUGGCUAAAACCAAGAUGAAGGUAGCAAGGAAUUUGAUGCCCAGGUACCUUGGCUUCUUUCACCCCGCCCAGUUUGGAGAUAUGGCAGUGCCUACCUUCUCCAACAAACUCUUUGAAGUAGCCACCUUAGAUAAAUGCCUCUGUUUCCACCUUAAGGGCUCAACCUCCUUGCUGGCACAUCGCCCAGUGUUUGACUCUGAUACCAUCUGGAACAAUCCUAAAUUUUCGAAUCUAAGAUCAUUACUAUAAUCCUAAAGGAGGAGGCAUCUGCUAGUGGUGAAUUGGAUUGGACUGUUAUACGUUCAUAGAAAUAUUCAUGGGAGAUGAUACACCACAAGUGGGGUAAAACAAAAUUAUGGAGGACUUGUUACAACAUCAUGGAUCAAACAACUUGGAACGUUGAAGCAUUUGCCUAUAAAGGAGGAGGCUUGAAUUGACUUCAAAUUUUCUUGUAACAUAUUCAUUCAUGAGUGCAUUGAUUCAAUUCGAGUUCAAAGGAUAAGAAAUUCAUAAUCCUAUUUAAAUUUUUGUAACUCGUGUAUAUGAUACUAAUACAUCAAUUUUACAUCUACUCGUAUCUAUCA